AUUCAGGCCACCGAGUGGCAGGUAUAGAGUGUCUCACCUCGGAGUACUGGGGAUGAGGGGUGAGCGUCCGGGCAGCAGGCGAGCCCCCAAGGCUGGCCCGCUGACACCGCUGGCGGCAAAAAUUUCUACGGCAGUUUCUCUUGAACCAGGCAGAAAACAACCCCUGAGGCUGCUCGGUGCUCCCUAGUCUCCUGGUUUGCAUUGCACAUCCAUUUUGAGCCUGCUGCUACUGAUGAGAAAAUGACCUCAAACAACUGCCCACUAAAGGUCCCAUGUUGUGACGAUGCCGGGGGCUUUCUGCAUAGCGCUCCGCUUCUCAGACUGAGCAGCUUCUGGAGUUUUGUACAAUGCCUGGGCCUGAGGAAACCUGCCAGGAUAUUCCUGGUAGGAUGAAUGAUCACCCCCCCGUAACAGACAGAGACACCCAGAGCAGAGACAGAGUUCACACUGUGGGAUCUGACUCAAUGUUUGAAUUCUUAGGAGCUCACCACUUCAUUGGAUUUCUCAUGACUGAAAAAAAGAGACCACUAGAAUCUGGAUGAGAUGAGAAUUUAGGUGCUGUUUUAGAUUCCCCUAGAUUAGGUGGAUACCCAAAAGAGUGUGUGGAAAAACUGCAGGGAGGGCCGGGCGCGGUGGCUCAUCCCUGUAAUCCCAGCACUUCAGGAGGACGAGGCAGGCGGAUCAUCUGAGGUCAGGAGUUCGAGACCAGCCUGACCAACAUGGAGAAACCCUAUCUCUACUAAAAAUACAAAAGUACCCGGGCAUGGUGGCACAUGCCUGUAAUCCCAGCUACUCUGGAAGGCUGAGGCAGGAGAAUCGCUUGAACCCAGGAGGUGGAGGUUGCAGUGAGCCAAGAUCGCACCACUGCACUCCAGCCUGGGCAACAAGAGUGAAACUUGGUCUCAAAAAAAAAAAAAAAAAAAAAAACCUGCAGGGAGUCUGAGUCCUCUGAAAUGGGAUGAAAAAUUUAUAUGUAAAAAUUGUGUAUAUUUCCUCCAGCCCCAGGAAGAGAGCCCUGUGUAUUCUGUUGGACAGAUCUGCUGAUUUUCAAGUUUCCAAGACUCCUCCAGACUUAAGAAGUACUGUUUUAUAUUAAAUAUUUUGCAAAGGUAAUUUUAAGAGGGAGCAUUGGUUUCCCUCAAUCACAGGCUCUGCAAAAUACAAUGCGCUGUCUACUGUAUACUUUGCCACAUGGAGCCUGGCUGCUUGACUCAUGUAACUCAACGUAAACAGUAACUGGGAGAGGACACACACGAGCAGGCAGGAUUCACAGGGAGAUCAAGUAUUUUGCCCAAGAGCACACAGCUAGAGAGUGGAGAAGUCCGGAUUCAACCCAGACAGAUUGACUCCAGAGCGUGUGCUAUUCGUGGCUAUGCCAGAAUGCCCUGAUGGCCUCAGGUUUGCCUUGCCAACUGACAAAGGCGACUGUUUCCUACCCAUUGGCUCAGAUGGUUCCAGCUUCCUACCCUUCCAGUUAAAAUAAACAAAAACGAGGGUCUUGAGUGUCUAUGAUUUUCAUAAGAUCUAUGGCGUUUCUUCUGCAGAUGAUCAACAGUUGCCUGCCUUGGACUUUGGAGUUCCCAAGAACUAGAAAAUCCAGGUCAGGAACUGUAUCUUUGCUCAGCCACCUGCAAACAGACUUGAGAACAAUGUAAACCACCCUCUGCAGGAUAUUGAUUCUGAUGGAGUAAAUGUUGAUUAAGCAGAAUGGUGUUUUUUUUUUUAACUGGAGGAAUUCCAGAUCUUUCCUUAGGCCUGUCUCUCCAGGGAAAUGAGCUCUAGCCUUAAAAAUCUACAGAAAACCUG
rnacentral:lncRNA from 1 species